CGUGGAUACAUAUUUACGAAGCGUAAUUUACAAUAAUUUCGUGCCGAGUGGGCGUGACGAGAGCGCGCGGCUAAGGGGGAAAAAGAAGGUUUCGACGCCGCGUGGUCACAGAGAAAACCCUCGCGCAGGUCGUUUCCGGUGCGUACAUGUACAGGUGUGUUUUUUUUUAGUUUUUCGCGUGUGUACGACAUGCGGGACAGCUUUUCUGGAGUGGGUGUCGUUCGCUGUGUGCUGUGGAAGUGUCUGCGCUGGUGGAACGACGAGAGGAUGAUUGAAAUUAAUUUGGUCGAUUGCUCGAUGGUGCGGUGGCUCGUGAUGGUGUUUAUAUAUAGCGAACAUAUGCGAAGGAAGUGAACUCGAGAACUAUAACUUAUAUUUAAUGCGAAUGUGACUAACGUCGAGGGGACGGAAAAUUGAUCGCUGCUUUCGCAGGUAAUUAGUUUCAUGGAAAUACAGAUACUGUACACAUGUCAUAAAAAUAUAUCAAUAUAUGAAGAUAAAACUACA